AAACCGUUCAGGGGUAAACCUGAGAAACCCAAAAGAUCGAAUGGGGAGAUUCAUCGUCGACGGCGUUGGCUACCGUUUGUGCGCGAUGCUCCGGGUGGGACCCUGCGGUUCCAUUAGCGAGGGCACGCCACCUUCGGAUCGAACUUUCCUGCGUCGUAGUCGUGCACUUCUCCCCUAGUAGGACGUCGCGACCCGUUGUGUGUCGGUCUACGGCCCGAGCGGGAGACUGUCGCGUCGCUUCGGCGCACGCGGCAGACCCUCGGUCGCCCGGCCGGCUGCACGACGGUACACCAACGGUAUCGGGCCGCAGCCAAUCCAUUCUCGAAUGUGUGUGCGUCCAUCCCGCCGCAAGCUCGGUCAGUUCUUACCCGGAGGUACGGACCCUGUGCCGUCCCCGGGCCUGGCCAGCUGUUAGCAGGCGGUGUCCUCGGACCGGCCAAACCUCGGAUUACCGGUCGGCGACGCUAUUGCUUUGGGUACUCUCAGGACCCGUCUUGAAACACGGACCAAGGAGUCUAACAUGUGCGCGAGUCAUUGGGAUGCACAAACCUAAAGGCGAAAUGAAAGUGAAAGUCGGCCUUCGCGCCGAUCGAGGGAGGAUGGGCCGCGUAACCAUGCGGCCCCGCACUCCCGGGGCGUCUCGUUCUCACUGCGAGAAGAGGCGCACCUAGAGCGUACACGUUGGGACCCGAAAGAUGGUGAACUAUGCCUGGUCAGGACGAAGUCAGGGGAAACCCUGAUGGAGGUCCGUAGCGAUUCUGACGUGCAAAUCGAUCGUCGGAACUGGGUAUAGGGGCGAAAGASUAAUCGAA
rnacentral:rRNA from 1 species